rnacentral:rRNA from 1 species
GAUGAACGCUGGCGGCGUGCCUAAUACAUGCAAGUCGAGCGAACGGACGAGAAGCUUGCUUCUCUGAUGUUAGCGGCGGACGGGUGAGUAACACGUGGAUAACCUACCUAUAAGACUGGGAUAACUUCGGGAAACCGGAGCUAAUACCGGAUAAUAUUUUGAACCGCAUGGUUCAAAAGUGAAAGACGGUCUUGCUGUCACUUAUAGAUGGAUCCGCGCUGCAUUAGCUAGUUGGUAAGGUAACGGCUUACCAAGGCAACGAUGCAUAGCCGACCUGAGAGGGUGAUCGGCCACACUGGAACUGAGACACGGUCCAGACUCCUACGGGAGGCAGCAGUAGGGAAUCUUCCGCAAUGGGCGAAAGCCUGACGGAGCAACGCCGCGUGAGUGAUGAAGGUCUUCGGAUCGUAAAACUCUGUUAUUAGGGAAGAACAUAUGUGUAAGUAACUGUGCACAUCUUGACGGUACCUAAUCAGAAAGCCACGGCUAACUACGUGCCAGCAGCCGCGGUAAUACGUGGGUGGCAAGCGUUAUCCGGAAUUAUUGGGCGUAAAGCGCGCGUAGGCGGUUUUUUAAGUCUGAUGUGAAAGCCCACGGCUCAACCGUGGAGGGUCAUUGGAAACUGGAAAACUUGAGUGCAGAUUAGGAAAGUGGAAUUCCAUGUGUAGCGGUGAAAUGCGCAGAGAUAUGGAGGAACACCAGUGGCGAAGGCGACUUUCUGGUCUGUAACUGACGCUGAUGUGCGAAAGCGUGGGGAUCAAACAGGAUUAGAUACCCUGGUAGUCCACGCCGUAAACGAUGAGUGCUAAGUGUUAGGGGGUUUCCGCCCCUUAGUGCUGCAGCUAACGCAUUAAGCACUCCGCCUGGGGAGUACGACCGCAAGGUUGAAACUCAAAGGAAUUGACGGGGACCCGCACAAGCGGUGGAGCAUGUGGUUUAAUUCGAAGCAACGCGAAGAACCUUACCAAAUCUUGACAUCCUUUGACAACUCUAGAGAUAGAGCCUUCCCCUUCGGGGGACAAAGUGACAGGUGGUGCAUGGUUGUCGUCAGCUCGUGUCGUGAGAUGUUGGGUUAAGUCCCGCAACGAGCGCAACCCUUAAGCUUAGUUGCCAUCAUUAAGUUGGGCACUCUAAGUUGACUGCCGGUGACAAACCGGAGGAAGGUGGGGAUGACGUCAAAUCAUCAUGCCCCUUAUGAUUUGGGCUACACACGUGCUACAAUGGACAAUACAAAGGGCAGCGAAACCGCGAGGUCAAGCAAAUCCCAUAAAGUUGUUCUCAGUUCGGAUUGUAGUCUGCAACUCGACUACAUGAAGCUGGAAUCGCUAGUAAUCGUAGAUCAGCAUGCUACGGUGAAUACGUUCCCGGGUCU